UUUAUAACACUCUAAUAUUAGGUAACACUUUAUAGUAACACUUUAUUAUUAGGUUAUUUAGGUAUCAUUUAAUUGUAACACUUUAAUAUUAGAUAGAACUUGAUUGUAAAACUUAAUUUGAUAAAAUAAUAGUAAAAAAAAACCCUCACAGCCUCACAACUCUCUUCCUCCUUAUUUCUCGGUUUCUCCAUCAAGCAUUCAAGCUUUCUAUUUCUCUUGAAACUACACCUCCUUUCCACCGCUACCCCCUUCUCGAUCUCGGUGCUCCACUGUAGUCCACCGCAGCCUACCUCCAUUGCAGCACGUGCUCCUAGUUAAAGAGACAACGAUGUUUGCCCCCUCAAAAGACAUCGAUUGUCACCUCCUGGCUUCCAUCUUCGGCGGCUUCCACCUUAAAGUUUGGAUUUUUUCUUCUCCUCUAGAUCUCUGUAUGAUGAAGUUGACACAUCAUUGUUUGUCGAUCUUCUAUGUGGUUUCUCCGGCUUCCUCACCUUCUACAAUAGAAUAUCACUUUCCCUACUUUCAUGCUCCUGCACCUCGAUUGCAUCAACUUAGCAUGCUCCUGCCAACAAUGGAAUCUGCAUUUCACUUUCCCUACUUUCUCCUUCUCCUCCUCCAUACGCCCUUUUUCUAUCUUCUUCCAUGUUCUAAACAACCAUCAACAAUCGGGUGGCGACGGUUAAAUGAUUAGAUUCUUAGUGCACCUGCUGAUGAGGCGGCGAUGGCUAAUCAAUUCACUAGCUUCGGCUGCCGUUAUUCUGCCUAGCAAACAACUAAAACAAGUGACGAAGAACGCCUAGCAAUCUCGCAUUCCCGCCGGCCGUUGCUAAUCAAGGAGUGGGUCGAAUUCUCGAAUCUUGCUCUCCGGUAAUCUAUUAAUUAAAUGUUUUGUUGGUUCUUUGGUGGAUUAUUGAUUUGUCAAAUGUUUAAUUCUAGGGUUAUUGAUUUUUUUUUGUUCUAAUUGUUUGUUGUUACUUCGAAUUUAAUUAUUUUAUUGAAAAUUUUAAUUUAAGCGUUUAUUAGCUUUGUUAGUAAUGGAUUUUUAUGUGUUUAUCAAAGUUUAAUGUUAAUUACUUAUUCUUAAGAGAGUUUUGUAUUUUUUUUUUUUUUUUUUGCACAUUCUCUGAUUUUUUAGGGUUUUGAUUUUUUUUUAUGAAUUAUUUUAAUGAAUUCGCAGCAAGUGAAGACGAUUUUCAUAUUUUGAUUGCCGGAAUAUGUGAAGAUGAGAAAAUUGCAUAAUUUGCUGCUAUUGUUUCCUGUUUAUGAGGCUUCUCAAAUUAUUUCAUAAAGGAGAACAUUCUAUGGGUUUUGCUAUUUUUUUUGCCUGAUUUUGUUCACACUACUAAAAAUGCGCUUCAGGUGUUCAAAUUUUAUUCAUUUAACAUUAAAUUAAUUAAUUUUAGAUUUUUAAGUUUUUUUAUUUUUCUUAUUCUGAUUUGCUCCGGUGUAUAUAGAAUAUGUUUUUCUUAUGCGGAUUCAAAAAAAAUUUUGUUUGUCAAGAGAGGAUGUUUGUUUUGAUUUUUUUUAUUUUUUAUUUGUUUAAUCUGUUUUGUUGUAAUGGUAAUUGUCUAAUCAAUGUUGAUUAUAAGUGUUAAUUGUGGAGGAGCUUAGGGGGAAACAUAAGGAGUUUAUGUGUUAGGAUCAGUGUUGGUUGUCAUGUAUUUCAGGGUGUUUUUUAUUGCUAUUAACUACAAGAGUACAAGUUACACAUGAAACUACAUCUGGGGUCCUUUUGGGUUUCUAUAAACUUCUCUCUUUCUUUUCCUAGAUGAACUAAUCACAUUUAUUUAUUCCAUUAAAUUAUUCCUGCCCAUGAAUCUGUGAUUUUUUAUCAUUUGGUUAGUUGGCUUCGUAGGUCAACCGGACCUAAUCUUUUGAAUCUAAUCAUUUCUAUACUGGCCUUCCAUUUUAGUGUUUGUCAAUAAUGUCAUAUAACUAAUAUGAGGGUUGAUGUGGCCUCAGACAAGGGAAAACAUGUAAAUUUGCAGGACACAAUUGCACCUGACUAUAUAUAGUCAAUGCUCUUGGACAUGUAUAUCCUGUUAUAGUGUAAUAUGCACUUGGUAGAUGAUUGAAUUUAUAGGUCAUCAUAUUAGUUUGCACAUUUUUUAUGUUGAUCAUGAUUAAAUUACUUAAAGUUUCAUAAUUCCGAGGAGCCAAGUGGCAUGAUGGAAAAUCAAAAUCAAUUAGCCAAAAAAACUUACCCAAUUAGAGUUGUAUUUGGAACAAACACUAUGUUUGGAUAGCAAAUAGAUAAGGAAAGGAAGAGGAGAUAGAUAGGCGGAAGGGAAGGGGAAAGAAAGGGAGGGGGAGGUCAACUCCAUUUUCCUUCCAAAUAUCUCUAAUUUUGGAGGGAUUACGCUUAUUUAAGAGAGAGGCAAUAUGGAUCCCUCCAUCUCCAUUCCCUUUCUUACCUCAAUCCUUUACCCAAACAACAGAGUUUGACCCCCUCCAUUUUCUCUUCCAUUCUUUUCCUUCCAUUUUCUUCUAUCCAAACAAAGUGUAAGUGUAAAAAAUUGGAGCGCAACCUCUUUCAAUCCAUGUAGAUGAAAAACCGGACUUUGUAAAUGUUGAGAAAAAGUAUACUAUUAUAGUCAUAUGGGUCCUGUUCUCUAUGUAUGUAUAGAUUGCUUUGGUAAAACUCUGCAUCAUCAAUAGCUGACAAUUAUCUUCCUUACCUUCUACUGGUAAAACUCUGCAUCAAUAAAUGCAGCUCUGUUGUGACCCUUGUGCAGUUCUCUCAAGACUCAUUGCUCAAGUGAAUAAUCAAUCAUUUGUAAUUUCACACUGUAGAUAUAUGAUUUUAACUAUCAUAAAGAAUCUGGGAGAUUAGAUGUUGGCUAUCGUGAACUUAUUAUGGGGUAUUUGAUCAAAUAGCUACAAUUGAGGUGCUGCUUGGCAAGGUUCCUCCUGACUUCUAAUUUGUACGAAAGCAUAAACCUAAUGCCUAUGAAAGUGCAUAAAAUGGCUUACAGUAGAGCACUAGAAGAUUAUGUUUAGUUGGUUGUACACCAAAUUAUAUAGCUCACGGAAUUAUUUUUGAUGUAUGCUAUAUUAUAAUUGAUGUAUCAAGAGUUAUAGCAACAAAUGUUUCAGCUACAUUUUUUUAUGGAUCGCAAGGGAUGGAGGAGAAAGAUUUUUGUAGAAUAAUCAAAUAAUUGGUUUAUGUAGCCAACCCUACUUAUGGGAUUAAGGCUUUUAUUGAUUGACUGACUAAUGACCCCCCCUAAUUUUAUUACUUUCAUCUUUCUUACUUUACUUACUACUUAGCAUAGAUAAUGUACAAAAUGUCGGUCUAUUCAAUUAGUAUUUGUUAUUGGCAAUG